UACGGAGGGUGCAAGCGUUAAUCGGAAUUACUGGGCGUAAAGCGUGCGCAGGCGGUUUGUUAAGUCUGUUGUGAAAUCCCCGAGCUCAACUUGGGAAUUGCAAUGGAUACUGGCAGGCUAGAGUAUGGUAGAGGAAGGUGGAAUUCCCGGUGUAGCAGUGAAAUGCGUAGAGAUGUGGAGGAACACCGAUGGCGAAGGCAGCCCCCUGGGUCAAGACUGACGCUCAUGCACGAAAGCGUGGGGAGCAAACAGG
rnacentral:rRNA from 1 species